UGGAUUCUAGUUAUUCCCUCAAGGUGCCGCAGUCAGUGUCGGUGCAGGAAGGUCUCUGCGUUCUAGUCCCCUGCACCUUCACGUACCCAGCCUCGUUUUACACUGACAAUUCCUGGGCCCAGCUGUUCAGAAACUGGUACAAGGAUCAGGUUGAUGUGCACUGGGAUCUGCCUGUGGCCAGCAGUGACCCCAGCCUGGGAGUGUCGCAGGAGACCCAGGGCCGGUUCCAGCUGAUGGGGGAUCUGACACACGGAAACUGCUCCCUGCAAAUCAGUGAUGCCCAACGGAUGGAUGCAGGGAGAUAUUUCCUUAGAGUCGAGAAAGGAGACUUUAAAUACAGUUACUGCUCCAAUUACUAUCGCACUCACCCUACACUAGAGAUCUUGGUGCCAGGUGAGGGCAGCCGCAGUCACCGCUCAUCAGCCCCCCUUAGCCAGCCCGUCCCAGCCCUGGGGCCGGAUCAGAGCCGCGCCCCUAGAGGGGAAAGGCCCCGUGGCCCGGAGUGAUUCUCUCCCUUCUCCCCGUGUCUCAGAGUUGACGGAGGAGCCAGAGAUCCAGAUGACGCCGGCGAGGGGGCCACCAGGGACGCUGCUGGCUGGGGAGCCGGUGACUGUGACCUGCACAGCUCCCGGGCGAUGCUCCGGGACACCUCCCUGAGUCGCCUGGACGGGGCCGUUCAGCGACACAGCCUGGAACGUCUCAGCUCCACUGGCGAACGGCCCCUGGACCCACAGCUCCGCGCUCAGCUUCACCCCUGCCCCGGGGGACGCCGGCAAAGAGCUCAUCUGCAACGUCACCUACAGCUCAGCACAGGGACCUUCCACCCGCAGAACCAUCCGGCUCCACAUUGGCUUGCCAGAUGCGUGGGGAGCUGAGGGCGACGUCGUGUCUCUGGAGACCCAGGAGGGCGACUCCCUGACCCUGAGCUGUGAGGCUGUGAGCAGAACCGAGUCCACACUGAGCUGGGCCAAGGGGAAUGAGUCCCUGAGCCCCGGCCAGGGAGGGGCCGGGCACCUGGAGCUGCCGAAUCUCAGCAGAGGAGAUGCUGGGGAGUAUCGGUGCUGGGUGAAGAAUUCCUACGGGUCGGCCAAACGGGCCCUGCGUGUGCACAUGCAGUCUCCCACAGGUGACCUCAGUCGGGCAUUCAUCGAAAUCAGCUGCAAACUCAUUUUCGUGGUGACUGGAUUCUUCCUGGCCUAUUACCUCACCCUGCUGUGUUACAGACGGACACCCUACAGCUGUCUUAGAAGCAGAAAGAUGGACAGGCCGGGGGCCAGGGAAUUCACAGUGCCCGAUUCCAGCGUGUAGAUCGGGACGUACCUCAGCCAUGGAAGAGCCGACAAGGAAUUGGAAUCUCAAGGGACUGAGGAAACAGAGAAUGAGACCUCAGCUGGGGGGACUGUCACCCUGGGUGAGGCCAACGGGCCCGUUUAGCCCAGUACCUGGCCCCCUCCCUACCCCUCCAGCUCAGACCCAUGGGCUGGGAAGCACGUGGAAGGUGCCCGUAAUAUUUGUAUGACCAGUAGAUGAUCUGUUUGUUGCCCUGAUGGUUAUGACCAGGGCCGGCCUUAGGGAAAAUGGCACCCUGGGCGAACUUGUAUUUUGCCCCCCAUCACUCCUGGCCCCCACGGGCUCCCCCCGCAUUACCGCUGGGCCCCGUUGGUGUUUAAUUUGUUUUGAAAGAGAUGCCAGAGCUCAGCUGUGGCUCAAAUUAAGCACUGGCAGGGCGGCCUGAUACUGGCAGGGGCUGGUCGGGCACAAGCUCUGAAGGCAA